rnacentral:rRNA from 1 species
UACGAAGGUCCCAAGCGUUAUCCGGAUUUAUUGGGUUUAAAGGGUGCGUAGGCGGGCUAUUAAGUCAGUGGUGAAAGCCCCAAGCUUAACUUGGGAACUGCCAUUGAUACUGAUGGUCUUGAGUACAUUUGAGGUGGGCGGAAUGUGUCAUGUAGCGGUGAAAUGCCUAGAUAUGACACAGAACACCGAUUGCGAAGGCAGCUCACUAAACUGUAACUGACGCUGAGGCACGAAAGCGUGGGGAGCAAGCAGG